rnacentral:rRNA from 1 species
AGAGUUUGAUUCUGGCUCAGAACGAACGCUGGCGGCAUGCCUAACACAUGCAAGUCGUGCGAGAAAGCUCCUUCGGGAGUGAGUAAAGCGGCGAACGGGUGAGUAACACGUAGGUAACCCGCCCUUAAGGCUGGGACAACCCCGCGAAAGUGGGGCUAAUACCGGAUAAGACCACAAAGCUUUCGAGCUUAGUGCUUAAAGAUGGCCUCUCCAUGGAAGCUAUCACUUAAGGAUGGGCCUGCGCAGCAUUAGCUUGUUGGUGAGGUAACGGCUCACCAAGGCUACGAUGCUUAGCUGAUCUGAGAGGAUGAUCAGCCACACUGGAACUGAAAACGGUCCAGACUCCUACGGGAGGCAGCAGUGGGGAAUAUUGCGCAAUGGGGGCAACCCUGACGCAGCAAUGCCGUGUGAGUGACGAAGGCCCUCGGGUUGUAAAGCUCUGUCGAAAGGGACGAACCUGUCUGAAGCUAAUAUCUUCGGGCACUGACGGUACCUUUAAAGGAAGCACCGGCUAACUCCGUGCCAGCAGCCGCGGUAAUACGGAGGGUGCAAGCGUUGUUCGGAAUUACUGGGCGUAAAGCGCGCGUAGGCGGCUUUUUGUGUCAGGUGUGAAAGCCUUCCGCUCAACGGGAGAAGUGCGCCUGAAACUGAAAAGCUUGAGUACGAGAGGGGGAGACGGAAUUCCUAGUGUAGAGGUGAAAUUCGUAGAUAUUAGGAAGAACACCGGUGGCGAAAGCGGUUUCCUGGCUCGUAACUGACGCUAAGACGCGAAAGCGUGGGUAGCAAACAGGAUUAGAUACCCUGGUAGUCCACGCCGUAAACGAUGGAUACUAGUCGUCGGGAGCAUUUAAAACUUUCGGUGACGACGCUAACGCAUUAAGUAUCCCGCCUGGGGAGUACGGCCGCAAGGUUAAAACUCAAAGGAAUUGACGGGGGCCCGCACAAGCGGUGGAGCAUGUGGUUUAAUUCGACACAACGCGAAGAACCUUACCUGGGUUUGACAUCUGGGGAAUCCUCUAGAGAUAGAGGAGUGCCCUUCGGGGAACCCCAAGACAGGUGCUGCAUGGCUGUCGUCAGCUCGUGUCGUGAGAUGUUGGUUAAGUCCCGCAACGAGCGCAACCCUCGUCUUUAGUUGCCAUCAUUUAGUUGGGCACUCUAAAGAGACCGCCCGGGUUAACCGGGAGGAAGGUGGGGAUGACGUCAAGUCCUCAUGGCCCUUAUGUCCAGGGCUACACACGUGCUACAAUGGCCGGUACAAUGGGCUGCCAAGCUGCAAAGUGGAGCCAAUCCCAUCAAAACCGGUCUAAGUUCGGAUUGGAGUCUGCAACUCGACUCCAUGAAGCUGGAAUCGCUAGUAAUCGUGGAUCAGCAUGCCACGGUGAAUACGUUCCCGGGCCUUGUACACACCGCCCGUCACACCACGAAAGCUGUUUAUACCAGAAGUCGGUGACCUAACCUUCGGGAAGGAGCCGCCCAAGGUAUGAGCGGUGAUUGGGGUGAAGUCGUAACAAGGUA